rnacentral:rRNA from 1 species
UACGGAGGGUGCGAGCGUUAAUCGGAAUUACUGGGCGUAAAGCGCACGCAGGCGGUUUGUUAAGCUAGAUGUGAAAGCCCCGGGCUCAACCUGGGAUGGUCAUUUAGAACUGGCAGACUAGAGUCUUGGAGAGGGGAGUGGAAUUCCAGGUGUAGCGGUGAAAUGCGUAGAUAUCUGGAGGGACAUCAGUGGCGAAGGCGACUCCCUGGCCAAAGACUGACGCUCAUGAGCGAAAGUGUGGGUAGCGAACAGG